GAUGAACGCUGGCGGCGUGCCUAACACAUGCAAGUCGAACGAAGCGAUCGAGAUGAAGUUUUCGGAUGAAUUCGCGAUUGACUGAGUGGCGGACGGGUGAGUAACGCGUGGGUAACCUGCCUUAUACAGGGGGAUAACAGUUAGAAAUGACUGAUAAUACCGCAUAAGCGCACAGUAUCGCAUGAUACCGUGUGAAAAGCCGAGACGGUAUAAGAUGGACCCGAGUCUGAUUAGCUAGUGGGUGGGGUAACGGCCCACCAAGGCGACGAUCAGUAGCCGACCUGAGAGGGUGACCGGCCACAUUGGGACUGAGACACGGCCCAAACUCCUACGGGAGGCAGCAGUGGGGAAUAUUGCACAAUGGGGGAAACCCUGAUGCAGCGACGCCGCGUGAGUGAAGAAGUAUUUCGGUAUGUAAAGCUCUAUCAGCAGGGAAGAAAAUGACGGUACCUGACUAAGAAGCCCCGGCUAACUACGUGCCAGCCGCCGCGGUAACAC
rnacentral:rRNA from 1 species